AUUGUAAGUCAAAUCCAUGUGUGUUUGGGUCAUGUGUAAAUUCGAGAGCAGAUUUUCAGUGUAUGUGCCAUAAUGGAUAUGCGGGGAAAUUGUGUGACUACGGUAAGCGCAAUAAUUUCAUUAACAAAUAAAAGUACCUCUUUGUAUUGUGUUGUUCACGAGAAGAUCUCUAAGUCAAAUAUUUCAAAGUCACAGAUGUAUGCUAUGUGAUAUGUAAGGACCUUAAAUGAUUGUCAAAACUGUCAACUUUGCCCAAGAAAUUUUUUCUUUACAAUUCAUGAAUCUAUAAACGAAUGAUUUUUGUAAUCUUCCUUGUAAACAUAUUUAUAGAUAAUAUCUCCUUCAUACGCAGACCGGAUUUUUGCUAUAUUACAGGUCCUUUUUGGUUGUUCCGAUUUUCGACAAUUGUUUUAGAUUAAUAUUAUUCAAUGGAUUGGUCCAUGCAUCCCUAAAAGAAAUUAUAUUAUCGAAAUGCACAUCUGGUGCAUUGACAUUGGUACUGUUUAUGCUUUUUAAUCAAUCGUGUGUAAACCGAACCAUUUGAAUAUAGAAUACUUAUAUCUGACAUGUCUAUCUUAUGAUUAGUAUUUCAGAACCUCGAUAUAAAACAAAUACAUUCCCAUGUAUUUGUUAGUAAUUUCACAAUGCAUUUUUUUAAAGGCAGAGAUAAGAAAAAAAUGAAAAAUAUCUGAUAUCCUAGAAUUAGUUGUAUAAACUAUAAUCUCAAAACUUAGUUUUUAAAUUUCUUUUUCUAUAUAAAUGACAUUGCUUUUUCAUGACUUGACGUUGAAGUUCUUUUUAAUCGUAUUUAUUUUGUUGUUUUAAAAUACAAUAUUUGAAUAUUAGGUUUUGAUGAUUGAUUUAUUGAUAUUUAAUUUAUUGUUUCAGUGAUUGAUCGUGAGUAUUUUUUUCUCCUAUUACGCAAUUUUACACAAUUGUAGGAUACAGCCAGUUUUUAAUAUCUUUAAACAAAACAACACUGGGUGGAUGUUUUUAAAA
rnacentral:lncRNA from 1 species